rfam:Salmo salar isolate Sally breed double haploid chromosome ssa09, whole genome shotgun sequence.
CUGUAUUCUACAGUGCAUGUGUCUCCAGUGUUUGUGUGCUACUGGAGAUGCGGCUCUGUUGGAAUAAC